GACGAACGCUGGCGGCGUGCUUAACACAUGCAAGUCGAACGGGGUCAUGUAAGGAGUAAUCCGAACUUGACCUAGUGGCGGACGGGUGAGUAACGCGUGAACAAUCUGUCCUUCUGAGGGGAAUAACAGAUAGAAAUAUCUGCUAAUACCGCAUAAGACCACGAUCUCGCAUGGGAUUGAGGUAAAAGGAGCAAUUCGCAGAAGGGUGAGUUCGCGUCCCAUUAGCUAGUUGGUGAGGUAACGGCCCACCAAGGCGACGAUGGGUAGCCGAUCUGAGAGGAUGACCGGCCACACUGGAACUGAGAAACGGUCCAGACUCCUACGGGAGGCAGCAGUGGGGAAUAUUGGGCAAUGGGCGAAAGCCUGACCCAGCAACGCCGCGUGAGGGAAGAAGGUUUUCGGAUCGUAAACCUCUGUCGCAGGGGACGAAAAAAAUGACGGUACCCUGUGAGGAAGCUCCGGCUAACUACGUGCCAGCCGCCGCCGUAACAC
rnacentral:rRNA from 1 species